AAAGAAGCUGGGCCAAGGAUGAAAUUACUUUAAAGUCAGGUCUUUUACGGUUGAAGGACUUUCCUUUGCCUUUUUGGUUGGCGCUUUUUGUAGAAGGGACUCGAUUUACGGAGGCAAAACUUUUGGCAGCUAAAGAGUAUGCAAUUGCCAAUGGAUUACCUGUUCCUAGAAAUGUUUUGAUUCCACGUACAAAGGGUUUUGUGUCAGCUGUUGGUCAUAUGCGCUCAUUUGUUCCAG
rnacentral:misc_RNA from 1 species